UCUUUGGAGUCUGGGGUGGUCUCGAAGAUCCCGGAUGAGCCCCCAAAUGAAAGAUCCCACGCAGAGAGACCCUUACUCAAGUCUUGGGAAAUCGCGGACCCCAGACACAGAGAGACAA
rnacentral:pre_miRNA from 14 species